rnacentral:tRNA from 1 species
UAUAGAAUGCGCAACGUUGGUAGAGCACGACCUUGCCAAGGUCGGGGUCGCGAGUUCGAGUCUCGUUUCCCGCUCCA